AGCCUUCUGUAUCCGUGCUGAGAUUUCGUCAGAGAUCAACCCGUUGGGACUGAUGGUACUUGUCAAAUAAGUGAAGCG
rfam:Trichobilharzia regenti genome assembly, scaffold: TRE_scaffold0046041